ACUACCUUAUCUCCGCUUAAGUUUAUCUUAAAAUUAGAAAAAAUUUUAAAUACCAUUUCUCACUUUACUAUUCUAUAGUUUUAAAGUAUAUCACUUUCGUACCAUAUAGUUUUAUUUUUCUCCUUUUUUAUUCUCUUUACUAUUUUUUUUGUUAAAUCAGUAACAAAGUUAAAACUAAAAAGUAUUAAAACGAAUAUUCGAUAAACUAUAUAUAAAGUAUCUGAAGUUUUUUUGUAUAUGAUUUAACGAAAAGUUAACAGAGGAACUGACGAAAAGAAAUAAAUGAAACCACAGGAUACUAGAUUGAUACAUUUUAAACCACGAGAUACUAAAGUGAGAAAGUGUGAAACCACAAUGUGGUAUUUGAAGUUUACCCUUAAAAUUAAUUUUGAAUCUAAAUUUAAGCUCAAUGUCAACUUGAUAUUAAUUCGAACUAAGCUUGAGCGAGUCUAACUUGGAGUCAAGCGAACUCAAGCCCU
rnacentral:lncRNA from 1 species